rnacentral:pre_miRNA from 1 species
UCUUAUAAAUAAGCAAAGAAAGUGGUUUCUUGAGAUAGAAUCUACUUACAGUGAAGAUACUGCGAA